rnacentral:rRNA from 1 species
GAUGAACGCUGGCGGCGUGCCUAAUACAUGCAAGUCGAGCGAACAGACGAGGAGCUUGCUCCUCUGACGUUAGCGGCGGACGGGUGAGUAACACGUGGAUAACCUACCUAUAAGACUGGGAUAACUUCGGGAAACCGGAGCUAAUACCGGAUAAUAUAUUGAACCGCAUGGUUCAAUAGUGAAAGACGGUUUUGCUGUCACUUAUAGAUGGAUCCGCGCCGCAUUAGCUAGUUGGUAAGGUAACGGCUUACCAAGGCAACGAUGCGUAGCCGACCUGAGAGGGUGAUCGACCAAACUGGAACUGAGACACGGUCCAGACUCCUACGGGAGGCAGCAGUAGGGAAUCUUCCGCAAUGGGCGAAAGCCUGACGGAGCAACGACGCGUGAGUGAUGAAGGUCUUCUGAUCGUAAAACUCUGUUAUUAGGGAAGAACAAAUGUGUAAGUAACUAUGCACGUCUUGACGGUACCUAAUCAGAGAGCCACGGCUAGCUACGUG